GAUGAAGAACGUAGCGAAAUGCGAUAAGUAAUGUGAAUUGCAGAAUUCAGUGAAUCAUCGUAUCUUUGAACGCACAUUGCGCCCUUUGGCAUUCCGAAGGGCACACCUGUCCGAGCGCCGUCGCACAACUGAGGCGCAGCCUUGCGUUGGCGGGCGACUUGUGAGUAGCGAGUCGCCGCCCAAACGAGACGGCGCCGCGCCGCGGCCGACGAAGCACGAAAGCGGAAGUCGACGCGGAGGCGGUUGCCUGUAGGAAGACACAGCUUGGCCUCGGAUCAGGUGGGGAUACCCGCUGAACUUAAGCAUAUCAAUAAGCGGAGGA
rnacentral:misc_RNA from 1 species